GCCCUGGAGGACCUGGCCGGCUCCGCGGGAAGCUGUACUCAGAGCGCGCGGCCGCCCUCUGGCAGGGAGGAGUUCGUUGCACUUUUGAGGGUUCUUCACGAAGACAUCCAAUACAUAGAAAACAAGUAACAGCAACAGUAACGAAUUUUUAAAUAUUAAAAUUGCUGGGGAACACGACGGAUCCUGCAGCUGCUCGGCUGUCCCGGUCGUCAGUGACGCUAGGGCUCCGCACCGUACCCUGCAUACCGUAGGUGCUCACGAAACGUUCGUGAGUUCCCUGCUCUGAGGAAACAAGCUUAAAAACUCAGAAUCUAAGGUGUGAGUCUCCGCAAACCUGCUUGUUGGGCAGCGUCCCCCGCCCGGGCUAGCCCUGCACGCCCCACCCCGGAGCCACGCUUCUCCAGCCGGGACCCCUGCCUCCUUCCAGGCUAUUCUCGGAACCGCAGCCAGAGGGAAUUUUUUUUUCCUUUCCUGAAACGUAGAGCAGAUCUGGUUACUCUUCUGCACAACGCCCUAAAAUCUAGGGCCCUUCCCAUCCCUCAGAAUUUACAUCUAAUUCUCAGCUCCCCUCCGGCUUGCUGUAGCCAUCCUGGCUUUUGUUUAGCACAGCACUUACUGUUAGUGACAUUAUAUUGUAUAUUAUUAACAUAUUUGUGUUUUACAUCCCUCACUAGACCCCCAGGAAAGAGGCUUUGAUGUGUUGCCUGCUGCAAGGCUGGCUGCAUAAUUUGUGGAGCUCAGAGAAAAGUGCGGAGCUUCCUUGUUCAAAAAACAGAAAGAAAGUGCCUCUGAGGUCAUAAAAUAUAAAACUUUCUCUUUCCUCUCAGUUUCUCUCUUUUCAUAGUGUUUUUAUGUGUUAUUUAAUAUCAUUCCAAGAAAAAUUUAGAUUUAAAUUGUUAGCAUGAAGUUCACCAUCCAUCUUUACGUUGUGCAAUGCCAGUUUUAAAUACUAAUAUAAGUGCACUGAUCUCAUAUGUGGAAUCACAGAAAUUAUGCAAUUUGUACUUCAUAGCUUAUACAUGCAUAUAGAUUUUGUUUUUACCAGAACCACGCUGGUAAAAACAGAUGCUGCACAAAGUGAACUUGCCCGUUUUCAUCGCACUUUACGUGCACGAAUUCUACCUCUACUCUCGACCUGGGACUCACCGAUGCGUAAGGAAGGACUGAAAAGCAAAAGAACUAUGGACUGGCCUUUUGGCAUGAUCAGGUGUCUAAUAUAAAGAAGUGCAUGAAUAAGAAAAUAUAUGAUAUGAGUGAUGGUUAAUACUGACUGUCAACUUGAUUGGAUUGAAGGAUGCAAAGUAUUGAUCCUGGGUGUGUCUGUGAGGGUGUUGCCAAAGGAGAUUAACAUUUGAGUCAGUGGGCUGGGAAAGUUCGACCCACUGUUAAUCUAGAUGGACACCAUCUAAUCAGAUGCCAGUGCAGCUAGAAAUGUAAAGCAGACAGAAAAAUGCGAAAAGAGAGACUGGCCUAGCCUGCCAGCCUACAUCUUUCUCCCACGCUGGAUGCUUCCUGCCCUCGAACAUCAGACUCCAAGUUCUUCAGUUUGGGACUUGGACUGGCUCUCCUUGUUCCUCAGCUUGAAGACUGCCCAUUGUGGGACUUGUGAUCAUGUGCCAUGAUAAAUAAGCCAGUUUGAGUCACUUGGUCUAAUAUCGAGACCACGAACAUAUUGAUCACAGAAUGUGUUAGGUAAGCAUGUUGUUGACUGAAGUGUAAGUAAGGUGCUCACCUUAAAUGCAUGUGCCAACAUCAGCAUCUUCAGAAGAGUCUCUUUCCCUUUGGGACAUCGAGGUGACUGACAGUUAAACAAGCCGUAUUUGGAGUAGGUGUACAAUCAGCCUCCUUCCAGUUCUCCUUGGCACUUUCCAGUUCACAAAGGACACUUCACUCCUUUUUGGUUUUUUUGAGACAGGGUCUCACUCUGUCACCCAGGCUAGAGUACGGUGGUGAGAUCACCCCUCACUGCAACCUCCGUCUCCUGGGCUCAAGUGAUCCUCCCACCUCAGCCUCCCAAGUAGCUGGUACCACAGGUGCAUGCCACCACACCUGGCUGAUUUUUGUAUUUUGUGUAGAAGGGGGUAUUGCCCUAUCGCCUAGGCUGGAAGGCUGUUAAGAGGAGAACUGAGCAAUGAGGAUCCCAUCCUGGACUUCGCAGACUUGCUGUGCUUUUGAAUGCUUCUCUCACGGUCAGAGCCUGCACUGGAAAAGAUGGCAUUUGGGACAACACACCUGGCUGCUGCCCCAGGAAGAAAGUAGUGAACACUGGAGGACUGUCAGCCCUGUCAGUUUCUGGAAAUGUGCCCUGAGUUUAAGUUCUGGUUUCAGAUUAUGAGGAGCAAAAUUACUGAGUAGGCCUCCUCCUAGAACAGGAAGCUCUUCCCGCUGUGGGCCAGUGGCUCUGACAUAUCACAGAGCCUGCUCUGAUGAAGGCAGCAGGAAUGAUUUCAAAACAAGCAAAACCAAAGAAAACUGUUUGACAAUGGAAGUAAUAGAGGCUCAUUUUAGAAAACAUAGACAUAAAGAAAAAAAGAAGAAUCUUCCAUAACCCACAGAUUAUAACUACUUACAUACCUUCCAGGCUUUAUUUCUCUUUUUUAAAAAACAAAUGUUAAAGUGGAAUUUACCUAUAAAAAAGAUACAGGUCCUAAGAGCACAGCUUGGCUUGAUCAAUUUUCUCAAGUUGAAUGCACCUGUGCAAUCAGUGCCAGGCUGAACACACAGCCUCAGCAGCGCCUGGAAGCUUUUCCAAGCCUCCUUAUUGUCAUCCCUCCCUCCCCAGGGGUAGCUGCGAUCACUGUAGCUUUGGUCUGAACUAUAUAUAAAUGCAAUCAUGCCACGUUAUGUUUCUGAGACUCACCCACACCCUGGCAAGCCAUUGCAGUUUGUUUAUUCUCAAUGUUCUACAAGCAGCAGUCCCCAAGCUUUUUGGCACCGGGGACCAGUCUCAUGGAGGACGAUUUUUCCGCAGACCAGGAUAACAGAAGUUCAAGAGGAAAGGACAGUGAGAGACCAUGACUAAAGAAUUACUCCGUGAACAACUCAGGAGGACCAGCUAUGAUUUCACUCUCAUUCAAAAAAGAGAAAUAAUAUUUCUUUCAGCUGCUACCCAUAAAAUAUUUUUGAAUGUGUGUACAAUGUUCAUGCUGUAAUGGCUGCUCUAUCAUGAAGGAUGUGUUGACACCUCGUGGGUGGCUUUUCACAAUCCCCUUGGACACAGAUUGGGGGAUUGACGGCCCCAUCCCCUCAUUUUCCACACCGAGGGGCAGUUGGGAUAUGCAUAAAAUCUUGUUCUCUAGUUAGGACCUGUUGCUAUAAAUCUAGCAUCAAGAGUAUCACUAUUUUCUAAACACUUUGCCAGACAGCCUUCGGAGUAUAAUUUUCUGAAGUUUAUAAAGCAUAACUCAUACACACACCUAGUGACCAUGUUCUGAAGGUAUAUUUAACUCCUGCAUGAGGGAACAGGCAGGAUGAAAGUGGGUUCUAAGGAAGAGACUAGCAUAUAUGAUCAACGGGGAAAAAUGAAGAGUAAGCUUGAAACCGCCUUUGCAAAAAUUAUAACCGAGGAGAUUAUGACAGUGAAGGAGAUCAGACCUAACCGACCCCAUCUUGCUUCUAACCUUUAAGCUGUCCUUGUUCAUUCCUGGGUGUAGGCCGAACUAACUUUGGGAAGGAAUUUGUUCGUGGUUUGACUCUGAAACAAAAAAAUUGAUAAUAGCCCUUUCCCGAAAAGACCGCCUUCUUGCCUGGGGACCAGUCUGCCUUUGCAGGACCAACAAAUUAACUACGAGAUUAGAAAUUACAGUUUAGGGGUCCUGCAGCCUCUGACUCCAAGAGUCUGACCCUCCCCACAUUGCUUCUGGGGAUAACAUCACUAUUAUAAAACCUAAGAUCAGUGCUUGAGAUAUUUUGCAGACCCUGCACUGGAUGGAUCAGCUGACACCACCCAGACCCGUAAUCUGGAUCAACCAGUUCUGCCAUCCCACCCAG
ensembl:lncRNA COPS8-DT COPS8 divergent transcript